UACGUAGGGUGCAAGCGUUAAUCGGAAUUACUGGGCGUAAAGAGUGUGUAGGCGGUGCUCUAAGUUCGGUGUGAAAUCUCCCGGCUCAACUGGGAGGGUGCGCCGGAAACUGGAGUGCUGGAGCGCGGGAGAGGAAAGCGGAAUUCCUGGUGUAGCGGUGAAAUGCGUAGAUAUCAGGAGGAACACCGGCGGUGUAGACGGCUUUCUGGACCGUAGCUGACGCUGAGACACGAAAGCGUGGGUAGCAAACAGG
rnacentral:rRNA from 1 species